GGUCGGUUAGCUCAGCUGGUUAGAACGUGGUGCUAAUAAGCCCAAGGUUGCGGGUUCGAUACCCGUACUGGCCA
rfam:Danio rerio chromosome 25, GRCz11 reference primary assembly.